rnacentral:rRNA from 1 species
UACGUAGGGGGCAAGCGUUGUCCGGAAUUAUUGGGCGUAAAGCGCGUGUAGGCGGCUUUGCAAGUCGGGUGUGAAAGCCCUCAGCUCAACUGAGGAAGUGCGCCCGAAACUGCAGAGCUUGAGCGCCGGAGAGGGUGGCGGAAUUCCCCAAGUAGAGGUGAAAUUCGUAGAUAUCAGGAGGAACACCAAUGGCGAAGGCAGCUCUCUGGUACGUGACUGACGCUGAGACGCGAAAGCGUGGGUAGCAAACAGG